CCUACGGGAGGCAGCAGUGGGGAAUAUUGCGCAAUGGGCGAAAGCCUGACGCAGCGACGCCGCGUGAGGGAUGAAGGCCUUCGGGUUGUAAACCUCUUUCAGCAGGGACGAAGCGAAAGUGACGGUACCUGCAGAAGAAGCACCGGCCAACUACGUGCCAGCAGCCGCGGUAAUACGUAGGGUGCAAGCGUUGUCCGGAAUUAUUGGGCGUAAAGAGCUCGUAGGCGGCUUGUCGCGUCGGCUGUGAAAACUCAGGGCUCAACCCUGAGCCUGCAGUCGAUACGGGCAGGCUAGAGUCCGGCAGGGGAGACUGGAAUUCCUGGUGUAGCGGUGAAAUGCGCAGAUAUCAGGAGGAACACCGGUGGCGAAGGCGGGUCUCUGGGCCGGAACUGACGCUGAGGAGCGAAAGCGUGGGGAGCGAACAGGAUUAGAUACCCUGGUAGUCCACGCCGUAAACGUUGGGCGCUAGGUGUGGGGAACCUUCCACGUUCUCCGUGCCGCNGCUACGCAUAGCGCCCGCCGNGGGAGACGGCCGCGAGACGUAAACGUUAAAGUAAGUAGUAGUUACGCGUGAGAGUGCGAGGCGACGACGAGGGAGAGG
rnacentral:rRNA from 1 species